GGGCGUAGCCUGUAUACUAAUAUUAGAAAGAAAAAGAAAAAAAUUAACAUGGCCUUUGGGCAGGUAUGACCUGCACAUUAGUGAAGGAUUCCAAAUUUUA
rnacentral:snRNA from 1 species